UACAGAGGUCUCAAGCGUUGUUCGGAUUCAUUGGGCGUAAAGGGUGCGUGGGCGGCGCGGUAAGUCGGGUGUGAAAUCUUGGAGCUUAACUCCGAAACUGCAUUCGAUACUGCCGUGCUUGAGGACUGGAGAGGAGACUGGAAUUUACGGUGUAGCGGUGAAAUGCGUAGAUAUCGUAAGGAAGACCAGUGGCGAAGGCGGGUCUCUGGAACGUCACUGACGCUGAGACGCGAAAGCGUGGGGAGCAAACAGG
rnacentral:rRNA from 1 species